GAUGAACGCUGGCGGCGUGCCUAAUACAUGCAAGUCGAGCGAACGGACGAGAAGCUUGCUUCUCUGAUGUUAGCGGCGGACGGGUGAGUAACACGUGGAUAACCUACCUAUAAGACUGGGAUAACUUCGGGAAACCGGAGCUAAUACCGGAUAAUAUUUUGAACCGCAUGGUUCAAAAGUGAAAGACGGUCUUGCUGUCACUUAUAGAUGGAUCCGCGCUGCAUUAGCUAGUUGGUAAGGUAACGGCUUACCAAGGCAACGAUGCAUAGCCGACCUGAGAGGGUGAUCGGCCACACUGGAACUGAGACACGGUCCAGACUCCUACGGGAGGCAGCAGUAGGGAAUCUUCCGCAAUGGGCGAAAGCCUGACGGAGCAACGCCGCGUGAGUGAUGAAAGUCUUCGGAUCGUAAAACUCUGUUAUUAGGGAAGAACAUAUGUGUAAGUAACUGUGCACAUCUUGACGGUACCUAAUCAGAAAGCCACGGCUAACUACGUGCCAGCAGCCGCGGUAAUACGUAGGUGGCAAGCGUUAUCCGGAAUUAUUGGGCGUAAAGCGCGCGUAGCGGUUUUUUAAGUCUGAUGUGAAAGCCCACGGCUCAACCGUGGAGGGUCAUUGGAAACUGGAAAACUUGAGUGCAGAAGAGGAAAGUGGAAUUCCAUGUGUAGCGGUGAAAUGCGCAGAGAUAUGGAGGAACACCAGUGGCGAAGGCGACUUUCUGGUCUGUAACUGACGCUGAUGUGCGAAAGCGUGGGGAUCAAACAGGAUUAGAUACCCUGGUAGUCCACGCCGUAAACGAUGAGUGCUAAGUGUUAGGGGGUUUCCGCCCCUUAGUGCUGCAGCUAACGCAUUAAGCACUCCGCCUGGGGAGUACGACCGCAAGGUUGAAACUCAAAGGAAUUGACGGGGACCCGCACAAGCGGUGGAGCAUGUGGUUUAAUUCGAAGCAACGCGAAGAACCUUACCAAAUCUUGACAUCCUUUGACAACUCUAGAGAUAGAGCUUUCCCCUUCGGGGGACAAAGUGACAGGUGGUGCAUGGUUGUCGUCAGCUCGUGUCGUGAGAUGUUGGGUUAAGUCCCGCAACGAGCGCAACCCUUAAGCUUAGUUGCCAUCAUUAAGUUGGGCACUCUAAGUUGACUGCCGGUGACAAACCGGAGGAAGGUGGGGAUGACGUCAAAUCAUCAUGCCCCUUAUGAUUUGGGCUACACACGUGCUACAAUGGACAAUACAAAGGGCAGCGAAACCGCGAGGUCAAGCAAAUCCCAUAAAGUUGUUCUCAGUUCGGAUUGUAGUCUGCAACUCGACUACAUGAAGCUGGAAUCGCUAGUAAUCGUAGAUCAGCAUGCUACGGUGAAUACGUUCCCGGGUCU
rnacentral:rRNA from 1 species